CUGUACUGAUGUAUUAGAGAAGCAGGAAGUUAGCUGUUGUUGAGUUACAUGUGGCUGUAUCCAUACUGCACCUGGGCUAGCUCAAAGAUCAUGUAGGUCAGCAGGAAACAGCAAUUGUAAGAGAUGGCAACAAGAUAAAACAGCUAAUGGAGGUGAAAAGUGGCAGUCAGUCAGCACUGAGAGGCUCAUAACGGUCAGAUGAUGCUGAGCCCUGAUGUUUCUGAGAUCUAAAGGGGCUGUCAAGAGCUAUUUAAAGCCCAUGGGAAUUUUGUUUGUUUUUUUCCAACUGUAUGACUUGGGAAAUAAAAGCAGUUAGUACAACUUAAUGCUAAAGUCUUACAGUGCUCUUGAUUUCCUUCUAUGUUUCCAUCUCUGGCUACAAAGAGGAAAACUGGAAGUGUUGCAUCCUUG
rnacentral:lncRNA from 1 species